UGAAAGAAGACAAGGAGAGCUAAUUAGAGAGAGAUAGGGGAAGGAAAAACCUUGAAGCUUGGAUCUCCAUCUUCUUCAAGCUUAGACCUCUAAGAUAUUGGGUAUUCUAGGGAUUUUGACAAGGAGUAUUUGGGCGAGCUAAAUAUCUAAGAUUUGGAUAUUUUAGAGUAGUAAGGACAUGUGAAUAGCAUGAGCACAAGUGGUGGGG